rnacentral:rRNA from 1 species
CAGUAGCCGCGGUAAGACGGAGGAUGCAAGCGUUAUCCGGAAUGAUUGGGCAUAAAGCGUCUGUAGGUGGUUUAUUAAGUCUACUGUUAAAGAUCAGGGCUUAACCCUGAGUCGGCAGUAGAAACUAAUGAGCUUGAGUACGGUAGGGGCAGAGGGAAUUCCCGGUGUAGCGGUGAAAUGCGUAGAGAUCGGGAAGAACACCAAUGGCGAAAGCACUCUGCUGGGCCGAAACUGACACUCAGAGACGAAAGCUAGGGGAGCGAAUGGGAUUAGAUACCCCCGUAGUCCCUGUCUCUUAUAC